rfam:Picea glauca, whole genome shotgun sequence.
UUCAACAUAGUGUUAAUGCAUUGGAUCCCAUUAUAACUUCGGAGUUAAGCACACUCAUGUUAUAGUAGUACUAGGAUGGGUGACCAUUCAGGAAGUCCUAGUGUUUGAC